rnacentral:rRNA from 1 species
AUGAACGCUGGCGGCGUGCCUAAUACCUUCCAGUCGCGCGAACGGACGAGAAGCUUGCUUCUCUGAUGUUAGCGGCGGACGGGUGAGUAACACGUGGAUAACCUACCUAUAAGACUGGAUAACUUCGGGAAACCGUAGCUAAUACCGGAUAAUAUUUUGAACCGCAUGGUUCAAAAGUGAAAGACGGUCUUGCUGUCACUUAUAGAUGGAUCCGCGCUGCAUUAGCUAGUUGGUAAGGUAACGGCUUACCAAGGCAACGAUGCAUAGCCGACCUGAGAGGGUGAUCGGCCACACUGGAACUGAGACACGGUCCAGACUCCUACGGGAGGCAGCAGUAGGGAAUCUUCCGCAAUGGGCGAAAGCCCGACGGAGCAACGCCGCGUGAGUGAUGAAGGUCUUCGGAUCGUAAAACUCUGUUAUUAGGGAAGAACAUAUGUGUAAGUAACUGUGCACAUCUUGACGGUACCUAAUCAGAAAGCCACGGCUAACUACGUG